rnacentral:rRNA from 1 species
ACGGGGUGCAGCAGGCGCGAAACCUCUGCAAAAUAGGCGAAAGCUUGACAGGGUUACUCUGAGUGAUUUCCCGUUAAGGAGAUCUUUUGGCACCUCUAAAAAAUGGUGCAGAAAUAAGGGGUGGGCAAGUCUGGUGUCAGCCGCCGCGGUAAUACCAGCACCCCGAGUGGUCGGGACGUUUAUUGGGCCUAAAGCAUCCGUAGCCGGUUCUACAAGUCUUCCGUUAAAUCCACCUGCUUAACAGAUGGGCUGCGGAAGAUACUAUAGAGCUAGGAGGCGGGAGAGGCAAGCGGUACUCGAUGGGUAGGGGUAAAAUCCGUUGAUCCAUUGAAGACCACCAGUGGCGAAGGCGGCUUGUCAGAACGCGCUCGACGGUGAGGGAUGAAAGCUGGGGGGAGCAAACCGGAUUAGAUACCCGGGUAGUCCCAGCUGUAAACGAUGCAGACUCGGUGAUGAAUUGGCUUAUUGCUAAUUCAGUGCCGCAGGGAAGCCGUUAAGUUUGCCGCCUGGGGAGUACGGUCGCAAGACUG